rnacentral:rRNA from 1 species
AACGAACGCUGGCGGCAGGCUUAAUACAUGCAAGUCGAGGGGUAGCAAGAUUGUAGCAAUACAAUUGUUGACGACCGGCAAACGGGUGCGGAACACGUACACAACCUUCCUACAAGUGGGGAAUAGCCCAGAGAAAUUUGGAUUAAUACCCCGUAACAUAGCGAUGUGGCAUCACAUUGCUAUUAUAGCUUCGGCGCUUGUUGAUGGGUGUGCGGCUGAUUAGAUAGUUGGCGGGGUAACGGCCCACCAAGUCUACGAUCAGUAGCUGAUGUGAGAGCAUGAUCAGCCACACGGGCACUGAGACACGGGCCCGACUCCUACGGGAGGCAGCAGUAAGGAAUAUUGGACAAUGGACGCAAGUCUGAUCCAGCCAUGCCGCGUGAAGGAUUAAGGUCCUCUGGAUUGUAAACUUCUUUUAUAAGGGACGAAAAAAGGUCUUUCUAGAUCGUCUGACGGUACCUUAUGAAUAAGCACCGGCUAACUCCGUGCCAGCAGCCGCCGUAA